UGUAGUGAAAUUGCAGUCACUGCAAGCAAACCUUUGUAUUCAUUCAUUUUAUUUCUUUAGCCAUCCAUCGGUCCCAGCCAUGGUUUCACCACAAGAUUUCCAGAGAUGAAGCUCAGCGAUUGAUUAUUCAGCAAGGACUUGUGGAUGGGUAAGUUUGAUACUUUUAGAGUAGAAUUUGGGUUUGGAUUUUUCCAGUAAAUAAUAAUCAUUUAUUCAGUGCACAGCAAGUGUUUUUAAUUUUGGCUUAUCAUAACACAGAAAUGACUUUGUUCUGUAUGAGUAGCUAUCACUGGAUUCUAGCAAUAUCUGUAUAAUACCCAGUACACAGAGUGUGCUUAGUAUUUGUGUAUAAAUUAACAGAGAAGAGAAUAGUAUUCUUUUUUCUUGCCUAGGAGCACUAAUGUUAUCCAUUCUGUGCCAAUUCUAGAAUUUUAGAUAUUAAUUCAUGAGAGGAAAAAAACUAACCUUGUUUUUGUGUAUCAAUGUUUCAAUUUGAACAAGUAAUUAAUAUGAUUCUAAAAUAUGAUUUACACUAUGACAUUAUCCUAUACAUUGUAAUUCUAUUUAGGUAUAAUGCAGGGUAUAUUAAGUAGAAAAUUUUUUUCUGAUUUUUUCAAUGUUUGCUUUUAUUUCUGUUUACAUCCCUAUUGCUUUUUCUCUAAAUGUUAACAGCUUAAAAAUAUGAAUAUAUUAAAAGUGUACUUUUUGAUGAUUUUUUUUUUGGUGUUAUCUUUUAAUGGGAUACCAUGGAGUACACAGGAGAAGCUUAAAAUAUUUUAUGAGAGAUUUAUAAUCUGAAGGAUUUUCUUCUCACAUUACUCAGUUUCAGGUACUUUAAUACUGCUAAGUUCCUUCCCAAAUGCAGUACAAUGAGAACAUUUUAUUGAGGAUUGGAUGAGAAAUGAAACCAUUGUCAGUUUAAACAACUGGAGAAAGAAUCUUUUGUCUUCAAAGGUUGACUUAAGAUGACGACAAGGGUUUGAGGAGAUUUAAUACUGACAUUGGGUAAAAAUGCAUCUUCAUGUGGAAGAUUAUUAAUAACAAGUCAGCAUUUCAUCAGAGUCUAAAUAAGAAAGGAUUUUAAUAUACUUCUCUGCUUGGAGCAUGGUCAAGUUUUGGAUAUAAAUUUGAACAGUGAUCAGAGUUACAAUCCAGUGAUGUCAGGAAAAGAAAAAAUAAUAAAGAAUGAUUUAAAUGUCUUAGAAGAUUAUAAUUCCCUUUAUUUAUGAAUUUGUAACCUGGAGAAAAUAAUUGUACAAAGUAAUCAUGCCUGUUUCUAUAAUUUUGGUAUUCCUUUGGAAAGUUGUGAAGGUGUCAGGUGGUCCACCAGGUGGUAAUGGUGAUCUGCUUGGGAAGAGGAAGAAUUACUGCUUAAUUUUUCCAUGAAGGGGCCUUUGUCCUCUCUCCCAAUGAUGUAAUGUCAGAGUCUCACAAAUAAAAUGGAUAAUUUCAUCAGACAUCUGUGAUGCCUCAGAUUUGGCUGACUCUUUGCCCAGGCACAGUGAGAUUAGUAUUGAAGUCACCAGUGGGGACCACAUACACAGUGUUUUUGCCAGUAAUUAAUACAAAACUGGCUUUUCACUGCAUUGACAGUAAAUAAGAAUCCAUACCCGGAAGCCUUUUUCUCUGAGACCAUUAGACCACAUCUUCUUUUUGUAACCUGACAUUAAUAGAGGCUUUCCCACUGCAUUCUUCAAGGUUAAAGUGCACGUUGGGUAUAUUUUUUUCAACUUGAAACAUUUUUACUUAAACAUUUAAUAAACAAUUUAAAUAUGGAUUUUAAGGAUAUAGCAUUUCUUAUUUUCUGUCGUGUAACAGUAGAAGCUAGAAUCAAAAUAAAAAGCAGACCAAGUGUAGAAAAGGGGGUAAAAAUGAUUUUACUCUAAAUCAUUAUGAUAUAUAUAUAUAUAUAUAUAUAUAUAUAUAUAUAUACACACACACACUCAUCCCUUAUUCGUUCUCAUCCCUUAUUCUUUCUGUUAGUUACAUGGGAAUACCCAAUUUCCCAGUGGAAAAAGGACAACAUGAAUUGUUGAUGCCAACGGAAUAUUUUGCUGGGUAUUGUAAGCAAACAAUGUCACAAAUAGACUGUGUAUUUAUCAUAUUAAAAUUACAUUAGCACUGAUGACAGUUUUGUAGUAUGAGAUUAUGUUGUAACAUAUCAUUCACCAAGUUGAAUAAUCAUACCCACUGAAUACACAGUUAAGGAGAUCCCAGCUACAGCUUUUGUGAGUACACAUUCUGGGUUUGUUACAUGCUAUGUUUCUAUGAAAUCUGUGAGUAAAUAUAGAAACGUAUUGAAAUUCUUCCUCUCUCUUUUUAUAGUUUUCUUGGUAAGGGGCAGUCAGAAUAACCACAAAACUUUCGUCCUGUCAAUGAGUCAUGGACAAAAAAUAAAACACUUUCAUAUUAUACCACUAAGUAAUUUGUGAUUUCACAUUCUAAGCUUUUGGAAACUUUGUUUUUCUGUUGUUCCAUUUAUUAAAUAUAAUGUUAGGUGCUUGUGCUUUGACCAGAGUUAAGUUUGGCAGAAAUGGUUUUAUGAGCCUGAAUUAAUAUAAGAAAUACAGGAAUUGUAAAAAUUAAAUUUAUCUUUUUUCCACGAAAUAAGAUUUAGCAAUAUUGUAUAGACCCCAUGCCACCUAUUGUUAAAAGGCCACUAAAGAUUCUUUUUUCUGAGUUCUAACCAUUCCUUUAAAAAAACAUUAUUUUAAAACCUUUUCUCUUCUCUUCUCUCAAAGACAUUUUUUGCUAUUAUUGUUGGUAGUUCAUUUGUUUUAAAUUAUUUGUAUAGAAACACAGGAACUGUGAAAUUUGUGGACUUUAAAUAAUCCUGGGAACAUUUUUAAAAUAUCUGUGACUCUGUUUCUGGCUGGCACAACUUGCUUUUUUUUUUUUUUUUUUUUGCUUCUGCUGUUGUGUGUCAGCAUGUGCACAUAUGUACAUAUGUGAUGUGCACAUUGGAAUCUGGCAGAGUAAAACAGAUUCAAUCUACUUUCAGGAAGGUCUUAUUUAAAUUACUAAUGCUUUCCUUUGAAUUGCCUCUUUUGUAAAUCAUCCAGAGGCCAUAUAGAGUACCAACCCUGCUUCUUUGAUUAUUUGAUCAGUGUCCCCAGCAAGUAUGAGCUUUUAAUGCUAGAAGACUUCACCACCAAACAAAAAAAGCCAACUGACAUUCCAUUAGCAUAAUAUUUUAUUGCUUCAGAAUGAAUUUCCUGAUAAAAAUUAUAUGACUAGUCAUUUUAAUAUACUGAGGCAUUAAGUAGACAAUGUUUAGAAAUAGAAAUUAAUUUCUGUACAUGGAAGCAUUAAAAUCUCCUGUCUACUUUUACACUGAAUAGUACAGAUUUCUCUCUGUUCAUUGACUCAAAAUUGUUAAACUAUACUAACUAAACAGAACUCUGGGAGAAUUAGAUGCAGAGAAAGUGGAGGCAUGUUUCUUAUCCAAGGAUCAUAUGAUACUUCUUUUAAAUGUAAGUGAAAUUAAAGAAGUGGGCUGCCAUGCCGUUCUCUGCAUAGUCCUUAUUUUAAUAAACUUGUCAAUUUUGGCAUGAAAACAUAGCUUGCAGUGGAACAACCAUCAUCCUUCUGGAUUCUUUACCCUCUUUACCAGCUUGUUGUUUUUCCUAUUGCAGGUGGAAGAUGAUGGUGAAAUGUUCCACACGCUAGAUGAUGGCCACACUAGAUUUAUUGAUCUAAUCCAGCUAGUGGAGUUCUACCAACUCAAGAAGGGUGUUCUUCCUUGCAAGUUGAAACAUUAUUGUUCUAGGAUUGCUCUGUAGCUGAACCAGAAGUGAUGUGUUAAACUGUUGAAGAAAAAAGACUCAAGGGGAAAAAUAUUAAAAAGAGAGCAUAAAUAAGGGUAAAAAAUACUGUGGUGAAAGGAAUAUUUCACCUGCAAGUUAUAAAAAAAUAUUUUGUGCAUUGCAAAUAAGCAAAAACUUGGAUUGGCAUUACAAUCCUCAUUUAAAAUUUGUAAGUUGAAAUUAAACCUUAGGAAAAAAUGAUUUGUUGUGUUCUUUUGUGGUUUCAUAUAUUACUGUAUUUUCUUCAAAUAUGAAUACUUCAAACAUUUAUCUGCUCCUUUUUAAAAUAUGACAGCCCUAGAAUUCUCAAACACCAAAUAUGAAGAAGAAAUCAGGUUUCAGAAUGACCUUUUUGCAAACUGAAUUCCAGUUAUACUACUUUUUUAAUAUUAAG
rnacentral:lncRNA from 1 species